AGAGUUUGAUCAUGGCUCAGGACGAACGCUGGCGGCGUGCUUAACACAUGCAAGUCGAGCGGAAAGGCCCCUUCGGGGGUACUCGAGCGGCGAACGGGUGAGUAACACGUGAGUAACCUGCCCUCGACUCUGGGAUAAGCCUGGGAAACUGGGUCUAAUACCGGAUAUUCACCUCCUGUCGCAUGGUGGGGGGUGGAAAGUUCCUCCGUUUUGGGGGUUCGGUCGGGGAUGGGCUCGCGGCCUAUCAGCUUGUUGGUGGGGUGACGGCCUACCAAGGCGACGACGGGUAGCCGGCCUGAGAGGGCGACCGGCCACACUGGGACUGAGACACGGCCCAGACUCCUACGGGAGGCAGCAGUGGGGAAUCUUGCGCAAUGGGCGAAAGCCUGACGCAGCGACGCCGCGUGGGGGAUGAAGGCCUUCGGGUUGUAAACCCCUUUCAGCACCGACGAAUUUUGGACGGUAGGUGCAGAAGAAGCGCCGGCUAACUACGUGCCAGCAGCCGCGGUAAUACGUAGGGCGCGAGCGUUGUCCGGAAUUAUUGGGCGUAAAGAGCUCGUAGGCGGCUUGUCGCGUCUGUCGUGAAAGCCCACGGCUUAACCGUGGGUUUGCGGUGGAUACGGGCAGGCUAGAGGCAGGUAGGGGAGCAUGGAAUUCCCGGUGUAGCGGUGAAAUGCGCAGAUAUCGGGAGGAACACCGGUGGC
rnacentral:rRNA from 1 species